GACGAACGCUGGCGGCGUGCCUAAUACAUGCAAGUUGAGCGCUGAAGGUUGGUACUUGUUCCUACUGGAUGAGCAGCGAACGGGUGAGUAACGCGUGGGUAAUCUGCCUUUGAGCGGGGGACAACAUUUGGAAACGAAUGCUAAUACCGCAUAAAAACUUUAAACACAAGUUUUAAGUUUGAAAGAUGCAAUUGCAUCACUCAAAGAUGAUCCCGCGUUGUAUUAGCUAGUUGGUGAGGUAAAGGCUCACCAAGGCGAUGAUACAUAGCCGACCUGAGAGGGUGAUCGGCCACAUUGGGACUGAGACACGGCCCAAACUCCUACGGGAGGCAGCAGUAGGGAAUCUUCGGCAAUGGACGAAAGUCUGACCGAGCAACGCCGCGUGAGGGAAGAAGGGUUUCGGAUCGUAAAACUCUGUUGGUAGAGAAGAACGUUGGUGAGAGUGGAAAGCUCAUCAAGUGACGGUAACUACCCAGAAGGGGACGGCUAACUACGUG
rnacentral:rRNA from 1 species